rnacentral:lncRNA from 1 species
AAUUAACCACAGAUUAUUUGACUCUCAGCUAAAGCAAUUACAAAUAUUAAAAUUACAUUUCAACCACUGAGAUAGUCUUUAAUUUUCACUGUACUGUCUACUUUCCACAGCAACGCACCUUUUGGGGCAGAACAUCUUCCUUCGCUAUGUUCUGUGGAGCCACUAGGUGUCCCUCGUUCCUACAUAAAGCUCCAGGAACAAUACUAAGGGGAAAGAAGUAGCCU